UUGGGCUUUGCUGCUGUAUCCCCAUCACCUGGCACAGUUAUCAUUUGGCUCGAUGACCGAAUGCUUCGCGGACGACCCAGUAACAAUCUGUGCCCGUCUCGCAGCCGGCCUCCCGCUCCUCCUUCUCGGUGGAAGGAGACCCGAGAGACUCCCCACCCCUGCAUGCCCUCCCUCUCGGCCGGGUCAGCCUGGGAGGACCAGGUUCAGGCGACCGCCAGCCCAGCCGUGUUCGGCCGAGAACACCAGGACCUGAUGAGGUCUGAAUUGUUCCAAGGAGUGUUCUUAGCAAGUUGUAAAUAUACCUCCCCACGUCCCAUCGUUGUGCAUAAUUGAUACAGCUGAUGAAAAGCAAUCAUGAUCCCGUGAAUCAUUUCUGUCUGUUUACGAGAACGUUUCAUUCCCCGUCUUCCAGAAGGAGGCACAAAACACACUUUAAAGGAAAACGUAUUUGAUACUGACAUAUGGUAAGACCGUACCGUGUUCCGCUUCCUCGCUGGCUCCUGGUAUGUGAGAAAGAAGAAGGAAAACUCGUAAUUACUGUAGAUUUUAUCUUAUUUUUUUCAAUACGCGCAGAUAAUUUCUUUUAAGUAUAAAUGAGGGCAUUUGCAGAAAUGAUGAUCUGCAAAUCUCCACUUGGUUUGCCUUAGGAUAGGAAACGUGGCCGGUACUUGGGAUGUGAUUAUUUGUUUACAGGCCUGUCUCUCUCGCUUAAAGAAACAGAAUGAGUCUCGUGCUAAUUUAUAGCCACCCCACGCUUGACCUCCAUCGCUCCUGCUAAGGCUGAGCACAAGCGUCUGUGUGUUUAGUGUAUGAACUUAGGGAAUAAGCCUUCUCGAAGAAAUCCCAAAUAACCCUGACGGGGGGAGUCUUUCUUAUUUCCAGUGAUUGUCUCUGUGACAGUCGGGCUCAUGGAGUAAGUGUGGGGGACUUGAAUGAGCAGGGUUGUGUCAGUCAGCGAAUGCAGCCAUGCUGUGUAACAAACCACCCCGAAACUCAGUGGCUUAAAGCAAAAAGCAUUUCUUCUAACCAUGGAUGUAAGGGUUGAUGGCAGUACGGCUAAUCUAGGUUAAUCUAACUCAGGCUAUAGGUCAGCGGGGCAGGGCUCCAGGCUACGGGGUAGACGCGGGUCUCUUUGCCAUGUUUCUCCCGGGCCUGGUCUGAAGUGGUGUCCUCGACCUGGUGCGUAAUCUCCGUGACUCACAGGAGUUACAAAAACAGCGACCUCAGUUGCACAAGGUCCUUGCAAGCCUCUGGUUGCAUCACAUCUACUAACAUCUCAUUGGCCCAAACAAGUCACAUGGUUUACCCGGAAGUCAGGGAAUGGGGAGGGCCGUGGGGCUGUGAUGUGAGUAAAAUCUGUCACAAAUCAGUGAAGUGUUGGAACCCAAGAUUCAGUCCGUCCCCCAGGAAGCCACAGGGUAGAGAGUGGGGAGCAGAUCAACGGAGGAGAAGCAGAGGGAAUAAGCCAAGCUGGGGAGCAGACGGGCGCAUGCGUGACGCACACAGGCCACCAAGCGAGGUUUUAGUUCCCGAGGGACACAGCGCACACGUCCCAAAGACCCUCCAGGUGGAAAGGGCAGAGCAGCACACCCCUCCCCCGGUGGAAAAGCAAAAAUCUGUCGUUUCCCCACCGUUCGUUGGUCUUAGGUGAGCAAAGACCCCACGGCCCCAUGGCGGCCGUCCAGGACGCCCGCGCGCGCUGUGCGCCUCCUACACCAGCUCUCUCCUCGCGCUGUGGCCACCUGGGCUCUGCUCCCGCGGCCCCGCUCUUCUGACACGUCUGUCCCGCGGCCCCGAUGCCUCCGAGUCUGUCAGGCACUCGCCAGACUCCCUUGUCCGCCUGUGGUGCCCCCGCGGCCUCUCCCUCCCGAGAGCCCCCUGCUGCCCCAGGAUCCUGCUUUGUGACUCAUUUACAUUCCCCUCCUGUCUCCCAGAACAUUCCUUCCCCGUGUCUUUUCCUGGCUCCUCAGAACGUUCGUUCGAGGGGGAGAAUGUUGGCGGCGGAGACGGAGAGAAGUGCUUGGCAGUAAAUGGCCCAACGUCUUGCCUUGGAAGCGCCUGCAGCCUCCCGCUAACGGCGUCUGCUGUUCCAUGGGGUCGGGUGGAUGGCGAGCUUCUCUGUGACCUGCGGCCACACCUGAGCAGUGACCCCGUCCCAGCGUCCACGCAUAAGUGCAGACCCCUUGCAGAUUCUCCUGCAGGAAACCACCCCGCGGCCUCUGCACCGCAGCCCCACCUCUGCGCCUCUUCUGGAACAUUCGUUACCGUCCAGCUCGCUCUGCUGUUUCUUCCGUCCGCGCUCACGUGCUUCCCGGCCUGGCUGUCGGUUCCUCGCCGGCCGCCGGGAGUUCGUUUCACAUUUUGCUUUUCCCUAGUACUUAGCCAGUGAUUCGAGCGGAGGGGGUCCUCGAUAAAUAGUCGGGUAAUGAUCGCAUUGUGGGGGGAGUGGCGAUCUGAGAAGAAAUCCGAUCCGGGCUUAAAAGCUCCCGUCUCAAGCUUGUGGCUUUGGAAGAGGAGAGUAAAAUCAGUUUUUAUUGAAUCUGUCUGCUCUUCGCAGAGUUAUUUCGUGGUCUCUUUCAUUGGGCCAAUUACAUUUAUGAAGAUGAAUUAUGACAGGCGAGAACCCGCUUGCAUGGAUUACUGUGUGCUAACUGUGUAAUUAGCGGCCAGCGUCUAGGAGGGGAGUUUGUUGGAUAUUUCCAUCAGAAAAAAAUAAAAAAACCAAAACACAUUACGAUCCAUAAAAAACAAUGAGCAAUGAUAAUUUCAUUUUUAUUGGUCAUUUUAAAACAUUCACUGAUAAUUUCCCCCGUGCUUAAUAGGCAUAUGCUUGCCUCCUUCAAAAUAUAUCCAUAAACUUGUUGCAAAAAAACAGUCUUACAUAAUUGUUCAGCUCCCUCCCCUCGUGAAAGCCAGAAGAAAGGCUUCCAGAGGCAGAAGGUGUGGGGUUCGUGGAGGGCGUUCACACGAGUCAGCGGGUCAACAGGACUGAGCGUUGCCCUUUCACACCCGAGGGGGUUGAGCCUCCGUCGGGCAUCUGAAUUAAAGCAGGAUGAGCCCUUGUGACCCGUCUGGUUUCCCGUCCUUUCCAUCGGUAACCAAGAGGGGACUUGAGGUCCUUUUGGGGGGCGGGGACCCCCAGCCCAGGCCAAAGGGAAACACACAACAAGUGAGAAUAAAUGGUCACCAUAGGAGUGAGUGCCCCGGGCGGGCUGAGUGCUGGCUGCGUGGCUGGGACGGAGGCACUUGCCACGUCCUGCUCUGUGUGGUCCCCACAGAGACCGCGCACCCCCUACCCCUGACUCCCGGCUCUCGUGACAAGAAGACCAGGGGCCAAGGGGAGGUGGUCACGGCCUCCAGACCCUCCCGGUUCAGGAGGGGAACCGCCUCCGUGUUUCCAGAACCACCUUAGGAAGGGAUCUCACUCUUGCCGAGUGGAAGUUAAAUCCCCCACGUGGAACGUGUUUCCUUCUCUUCUUGCUCCCCUUGCCCAUCCCCCGCGGGGCUCCGGCCCGUCUCUGACCUCUGCGUGCAAAGCCAGAAGCCAACACGGACGGACGGGAACGGAGACGGCUUGGGAGGGAGGCGCCCACUCACCGGCCUUCAGCACGAGCUUCUCUCCGGAGACAAGACCCACCCUCUGCUUGUGCCGUGAAGCCUGACGAACCUUCGGGGUGUGUGUGUGAUUACGCGUGUGUGCGCACGUGUCCAUCUGCAUGUGUGUGUGCAUGUGCGUGUGAUUACACGUGUGUGCGCACGUGUGCAUGAGCGUGUCUGCAUGUGUGUGCACGUGAGUAUGCACGAACAUGUGUGUGUGCGUGUGUGUGAACACGGGUGUGCAUGUGAGUGUGUAUGACCGAAUGCCUGUGUUCCUGUGUCUCCAGAAGUCCCCAGGAUGGGAGGACGGGGCCCCCCUCUGAGCAUCAGGUCAGGCUGGGCGGUGGCCAGCGGGCAGGUGGGCCACGUUCUGCGUUUGUCCCUGGCUGUGCCCCGGGUGCACGUGGCUGCUCCCUGAGCCGAGCGUGUCUGCCACGUGCUCGCCAGCACUGGAGGCUCGUCUGGGACGGAGACCCGGGUCGCUCCUCCCCCGUCCCCCCAGCGGCCUCCGCUCUGCCGGUGCCUGUGGUUCCCGCAGGCAAAGUCACGGCUGCAGCCCGGCGUCCGAAUAUUCAGUCAGCAAACGUUUAAUGAGCACCUAGUGAAGCCAGUGGGUCAGGGCCGUUAAUCAGGAACCGAGUUGGAAUCCCAGCCCUACCAUCCCACCUUCUCUCUCGGAACCCUGUUUGCUUAUCUCUUAAAUGGGCGUAAACACAGUACAGGCCUCGGGAGACCGAUCUGGGGAAGCCAGCAGGAUCACAUUUUAAAGCCCCCCUGGCUCUUAGCUGCCGUUACUGGCGUUGAUGUUGUCACGGUCAAACCAGGUGUCAGGCGCCCACCCCGUGGAGGCUCACAGUCCGGCAACGGCAGGUAGGAAGGGUGCCCGUGAUGGGGAGCAGCUUGCGACGCGUCAGAUGGAGGAGAUGCCCACCAUUUCUGCCUGGGGGGCAGAGAAGGCCGACGGAGGAGGCAGGUAGCUGGGCCGUGAAGGAUGUUUAAACCUUCGGAGUCAGGGACGGGGAGGAAAGUCAUCCCAGGAAGACGGAAGAGCGUGGAAGGCCAGCCGUCUGAGGUGGCCGAGGAGAUUGGGGAUGGCGGCCGCGAAGAGGACGGUUGUGUGGCCGGAUUACAGAGAGCCUUGAAUGCCAAGCCAAGUGGGGCAUCUGGGUUUAAUUGUCUGGGCCGCGGGAGUGGUUCCGGCGUCUUAAACAAAGGAGCAGCAGAUCUGAUCCUUGCCAGCGGCACGACUUGCCAUUAUAACGGUAAACACGUCUACCCAAGACUAAGGAAGUUGGCAGGAAUAAGCGGCCAGAUUUUCAGUGCUCUGCCUGUGAGCCCGCUUCCUGCCUCAGGAAAAGGGGCCAGGAAGGGUGACGUCACGGGAGCUCGGCAGCCUCCUGUCCAGAGCAGGCAGCCAGCUUGUGCUCACCAGGGGCCCCAGGGCGGGAGGUGACCCAGGUGGCAUCUGGAGACUGGCUUCCUCCAAUCCUCACAGCCUCAGUGGCUCCUAGGUGCCCGGAGAAGCUCCGGGUGAGAAACCCAGGUGGGGGGAGAUGGGUGGGGAGCGGAGCCAAGGGGACCGUGGGGCCCGAAAUCACCCUGUGAUGCAGGGCCGGGGCAGGGUGUCCUCGUGGGUGAAGUGGGCACAGAAAGCCGGUCACAGCGAGUGGGGAGGAUCUGGGACAAUAUGAGCUUCGGGGCGCCCUGCGGGUUUACAGCAGGUGCUCUUAGCAGGCAGGUGUGGGCGGGGCCUCUGAGACACUGAGCACAGACUAGUCCGCCCAGCCGCACCCCUGCCCCAGCACCUCUGCCUCCCGCACCCCUGCCUACCACUCGUGCCACUUGCAACCCUGCCACCCUCACCCCUGCCUCCCUCACCCCUGCUGCCCACAUCCCUGCCGCCCGCACCCCUGCCUCCCGCACCCCUUCCUGCUGCACCCCUGCCUCCCGCACCCCUCCCUGCCAGCAGGCUCUGCCCAGGGCUGGUGGGCGGGACAGGGCGCCUGGCCCUGGAGGGGUUGUCAUCACGGAAAACCGAAGCGCAUCAUGCGGUUUUCUCCACGCUCUCUCCCAAGAGGGUAAAACACACAUCCUGCAUCUUUUCUUCUAGGACCUUUGAAGUUUUCGCUCCAAGUGGUAAAACACAUCAACGAGUUUCCCCAUGAAUAUUUAUUGAAAUGGCACCUUUAAGACAAAGCCAUUGUAGUGAAACUCCCAGGAAAUGCAUUUUGUGCAGCCAUUGAUCUUAAAAUAUUUACUACAAAUGUGCUCAUCUUGCAAAUACCGCACAUCGCUCUUUGUUGUUUGUUCUGGGAUUUGGCCUACGUGGUCUCGUACGGUUGAGCUGGGUCGGCAAGACCCAUCUUCUGGACGGCAUUCAGCUUCCUUCCUCCUUCCUUCCUUCCUUCCUUCCUCCUGGCCCUUGGUUCGCUGGUUUUGCCACCUCUGCGCGCAUCCCUGGGCUUCCCGAGCGGCUGGCUGGGGCCGGGGAAGACACACCUGUAGCAGGUGAGCUCUGAGAAGAGACACUAGAGAGUCAUGGACACUUGAGCAAGAAAGAGCUCGGCCGUCACCUUGCCAGACGCCCUCACUCACCCUCGAAGGUGCCCGUCGGAUCAGAGCCACCUGACACCCCCAACCUGCCGGGUCAGCAAACCACGAGGACUCGGGGAAACAGGCCUUUGGCACGUUCUGGUGGGGAUAUGAACUGCUACGGACUCUUUGAGGGUGAGGCCACCCAACAUCCAUCACGAUGAGAACGCCACCCGGCCUCUGAGCCAGCAUGCACCUUUGGGGGGUCUGUCCCUCCAUCCUGAAAGUAGGAGAUGUCCGUGCACAGCAACGCGGGCUGUCACGUAGAGGGUGGCGGCCCCACUAGAAGCCGCAUGCGCACCCGCCCAAGGCGGCCGGGAAGGAAGAACCCCCCCCUCCUGUAGACUGCUGGUCUCCGAGGGCUUCUGGCCUCUCCGUCAAUGCCAGCUCGCACGUCCAUGGUGUGCGUGUGCAUUUGUGCGACCGAAUGUCUUAUAGACAAACGGAAGAUAGACUAAAGGGAUGGGCCAACACGCCGGUUGUCUGUUCCUCCUGCCAAUGGGGCGUAUGCGCCUCGAGUCGGACGUCCUUGCGGGACGAUGUCAUGCCGCGUUCCUCGAGCACAUCGCCUGGUGGAGACUACAAAGACAGAAAAGCCUGGGCCUCGUGCGGUCACGUCAUUGCAAAAACCCACGACGGCCUUCAGAAUUCUCCUACCUCGGUCUGCGGACUGCGGGUAACGUUUUACGGGCACAGAGAUGUAGGUCUGGACGCCUUUGUGUGUUUAUAUGGGCGCACGGAAGAGCGUGGGUGGGGUGGUCCUCCGCUGUCCCCCCCGGAAGCACAGCGGGGGCUGGACAGGAACAUGGGAAAAGGAGAAGAGUGGGGGACAACAAGGGAUUAAAAAGGUAACGCAGACCGAGAAGAUAUUCACGAUAGCACGCUACCUAGGAAGGAAAGUAAACGGCCGUGCGCUGCGUCCGCCCACACGGGGAGAAGGUCGGCGUGCGAAAAGGCGCCUGGCCGCCCGAGGGACGAGUGCAGGUUUUGAUGGGACGAGGGGCGCAAUUUUUGUCUCGGGUUUCUGUUGUCAUCGUAACGUCGGCCGGUCCUCCCCGGGGCAUUUCCUUCUGGGCUCUCGUCUCUGCACAGGGUGCUGUUCCUGCUUCCCCGCAGGGAGAGACCCACGACCGCGUGCCUUCCCCUCAUGCACGAGCAGACGGGCUGGGGUCUUUGGGGCCCAAGUCCCGGUGCUAGAAAGAGAGAGCCCGACUGCCCCGGGUCAGGUCAGGGGACCAGGUCAUGGGGUCUGAGUGGGUGUCAGAGCACAGACACCAGAGCCCGAGCCCCCAGAUCCCAGGCCUGGUGGCCUGUCCACUCGUCCGAGCUUCCUCGUUCCCGUGUCCUUGGUCUGGUGACUUGAGGCAGGACGGCUCAGUGAUCUGUGGGUUCAGACAGGCGUUCCUGCGGGAACAGAGGGACUCCCAGCAGAAGGUGGCUGUUUCCAGAACACAGCACUUCCACCUGUGGCCCCUCUGUGCUCUGCACCAGGCAGUCUGCUCACAGACUCCGCUGUCCACAGCACGACCAGCAGGUCUGAGGGUUUGCCUGCUCCCUGCGCAGCAUCCGGGCCCUGAACGGUGUAACAGCUCAGCCUGCGGACAAGGACGGAGACAGAGAGACAGAGCGUGGUCCUGGCAGAGUCCUGAGGGCCCAGCCUCCGUGGCUGGGACGAGCCUCGUCGGUGCCCUGAGGGGCAGGGGACGGAGCCUGACCCGGACGCCUCCUCCAUCCGACUCUGUGGGUCGUGGAUGGUCCCCCUGCCCUCAGCUGCUGGGCCAUUUGAGACAAGACUUGACACGUAACCCUAUCAUCCUUCCAUCCUUCUGGAAAUCUGUCGUGGUAAAUAAAUGCUCAUAAGGCGA